CCUUUCAACUCCAGCAUGGCAGUUCUGCCAAGGAAAUGUAAUAUACUGUUAAAAGGAAACUAGGAAAACUACAGACUUUUUGUAUCUGCAAACUCCUUGGUCUAACAUGACUUAUCUAGGAUGUGGCACAGGGAAUGGAUCUGAAUUUGGAACUGGACUUUAACCCUAAGAAAACGGGUAUGAAUAAGGACAAAGAUCACUUACCUUUUUGUCACUCGGCAUUUCGAAUGUCAACAUUUGAAUAGGAAGCCAUCUUUGGAUCUCCUACAUCCUAUGCAUGACUGCUGCCGUACUACUCUGUGCUGUGCAACCCAUCUAUAAACCUCAGCUGAAGUAUUAAACAAUG